rnacentral:rRNA from 1 species
AUGACAAGGCCUGUGCAAGCGCUAAGAGGAGCCGCGCCACAACUUUUGAUGGAUACGACACUAGAAAGAGGGCCUGCACCACAAACUAUGGGGGUUAUACAACCACCGCGGGGGCCUAACGCAGCAAACACAACCUAUGUGGCUGGUCCUGGACUGGCACCAUUGCCUGCAUCAACAGCAACACUGGAUGGCUGCAUUGGGCAGCAUCCAGAGUCUUCAACAACACAAGAAGAAAAUGCCAAUGCAAUUUCAUCUCCUACUGCGCAAGCUCCUGGUGGAUAUGCGCACCAGCCGCUCAGUAUGGCAUCUCUACAUGCAGCUGUUGCAGUCGCACAAGGUACUACGAUGGUUGAACCACAGUUUGGAAGACCUGCUACCACACUUGACCCUGCAAUUCCUAGAGACCCUCCAAAAUCAACAAUAAAAGGGAGGGCAAAGUAA